rnacentral:lncRNA from 1 species
GCAUAAAUCAUUAGGGCCUUUUUUAACCAGAACAUGAAUAAUAUUCAAGGUGGACGAAUGCAUACUCUUUUAUAACGUAUUGGAACGAGGGUACCCAACAUGAACUCGCGCGCAAGGUGUCUAAUGGGCCAUCAUCGUUCCAUGGCUCUUGUUCGGUCAGAUCUCCCUCCAGAAGACUCAAAACACUUUGUAAAGGCUGGUGACAUCUAGUGGAAGCAAUAGGAAGUGCCAAAAUAUUCCUAAACCCCUGUGUUUUUCAAUGGGAUAGGUUUAAAGUCAAUACAACACAUCAGGUAUCCACUUCCUGUCAGAAAAUGUCUCAGGGUUUUGCCUGCCAAAUGAGUUCUGUUAUACUCAGACACCAUUCAAACAGUUUUAGAAACUUUAGAGUGUUUUCUAUCCAUAUAUAAUAAGUAUAUGCAUAUUCUAGUUACUGGGUAGGAUUAGUAACCAGAUUAAAUCGGGUACAUUUUUUUUAUCCAGACGUGCAAAUGCUGCCCCCUAGCCCUAACAGGUUAAAUCUUUACUGAAGACACAUCUCUUCAGUAGGUCCUAUGAUCAAGUGUAGUCUGGCCCAGGGGUGUGAAGGUGAACGGAAAGGCUGGAGCAACGAACCGCCCUUGCUGUCUCUGCCUGGCUGGUUUCCCCUCUUUCCACUGGGAUUCUCUGCCUCUACCCCUAUUACGGGGGCUGAGUCACUGGCUUAGUGGUGUUCUUCCAUGCCAUCUCUGGGAGGGGUGCGGUCAGUCCGUCACAUCUGGAGUAUUUCUCUUGUCUUUUCCGGUGUCCUGUGUGAAUUUAAAUAUGCUCUCUUUCUUUCUUUCUUUCUUUCUUUCUUUCUUUCUUUCUUUCUUUCUUUCUUUCUUUCUUUCUUUCUUUCUUUCUUUC